ensembl:lncRNA novel transcript
CCCUGAAAUACAGCCCAGAGCAUGCACUCAGUGAGUCCCACUGAAGAAGAGACGGAAGGCAGAACUGAACAAGAUGUGUCCAGAAGAGGUAGCCAUAGAUCAUGGACAUGACCAAAAGAAGCUUACUUUAUUUUCAACCCUACAACCAUACUGAGAAUUUAGCCCUGGGGACAUCUUCCGAUAUAAUCUGGCAUAGAAGAGUGGUUAUCACACCUUUAGCAUGGGACCCUUGAGACACCUUUGCUGUGAAUAAUGGAGAAGCAAAAGGAGUUACUAAUGAAGACAAACUAAACCUGAGAACAGAGAGAGCCUAACUAUGUGCUCCAGAAGUGCCAUGUGUGUCUAAGAACUUUCCAGAUUCAAGAAUGGACAAGGCACUCAGUUAUGAGCAACAAAUUCCUUUUGUCUUGGAGAUCAUGGAAGAAGUAUUAGAUGCUGCUCCCCUUAGUGUAACAGCCAGUUUUGUUGCAGCCUGUGGGGCCUGCAAGCUACACAAAACCACCAGGAUCCUAGAAGAGUCACUAGGAAACGUAGAGUAUUAUAGCUAGAUAAACAUCAUCACAUAUGUGUAAAAGAUAGAGACUGAACAGUCCAGUCUUAAAAUGUAUAGCAAAGUAGUUUGAAUGCUCUUGUUACAGUGAUUUUGUCAUCUACCAAUUUUAAGUGUGUAGUGAUUUAUCUAUCACAUUAUUUGGCAAUACUUUCUGAAUUUUGCAAUACAUGCAACAAUGACCUAAAAAAUGAAAGUGCAUGUUUAAUUUAAAAAUUAAAAGUAAAGCCAGGCGCAGU